AGGCUGGCAGAGCCACAGCCAGCGCAGAUGGGCACGCCCCAGGCAUCUCUAGGGGAGUAUCUCUUUGAACCGCUCACUCUCAAGCACAACUAGGAGGCCUCUGCACCUCC
ensembl:miRNA predicted gene, 23062